rnacentral:antisense_RNA from 1 species
CUCACUCACCAAGGGCCGCGCCGGGGUUCUGCACUGUCACUGCGCUGCGGUUCCCCGCCCUAGGGAUUCUCACACGGUUCCACGGCUCCGGGCCCGGCAGCACCGCAGCCAUCUUGCGAGGCGGGGUGACUUAAGAAAGACGGAGCUACGCGAGAGCACGUCGAGCGACCGGAGUCUGGAACAGUUCCUCCUUCUUUCUCUGGCUCUGGAUCUGCAUCCCUGACAGUCUUAAAGAGGACAGACCUUUCAUUCAUGAGGAUGACCCUCAACUUGGCCCAGUCGAUGUUUCCUCAGACUCAAGCCUUGCAUUCUUGGCAGAAAGACUGAAGAAAUGAUGCUGUGCUCUUCUCAGUGCUUCACGUCAGGAGGCUCUACUCUCUCAACUGGCCCCACUAUUGUCUCUUGAAGGUGCAGCUGUGUGGCUUGGCCAUGAGGAUUGGAGAGGAUAUAAAGAGGGCAGGAGAGGGGACGACUCCCAUUUUGCCACCCCG